AGCAGCCGCCGCGGGAAUACGAAGGGGGCUAGCGUUGUUCGGAAUUACUGGGCGUAAAGCGCACGUAGGCGGAUAUUUAAGUCAGGGGUGAAAUCCCAGAGCUCAACUCUGGAACUGCCUUUGAUACUGGGUAUCUUGAGUAUGGAAGAGGUGAGUGGAAUUCCGAGUGUAGAGGUGAAAUUCGUAGAUAUUCGGAGGAACACCAGUGGCGAAGGCGGCUCACUGGUCCAUUACUGACGCUGAGGUGCGAAAGCGUGGGGAGCAAACAGGAUUAGAUACCCGUGUAGUCCCUGUCUCUUAUAC
rnacentral:rRNA from 1 species